rnacentral:rRNA from 1 species
AGAGUUUGAUCCUGGCUCAGAUUGAACGCUGGCGGCAUGCCUUACACAUGCAAGUCGAACGGCAGCACGGGGGCAACCCUGGUGGCGAGUGGCGAACGGGUGAGUAAUACAUCGGAACGUGUCCUGGAGUGGGGGAUAGCCCGGCGAAAGCCGGAUUAAUACCGCAUACGCUCUAUGGAGGAAAGCGGGGGAUCUUCGGACCUCGCGCUCAAGGGGCGGCCGAUGGCGGAUUAGCUAGUUGGUAGGGUAAAGGCCUACCAAGGCGACGAUCCGUAGCUGGUCUGAGAGGACGACCAGCCACACUGGGACUGAGACACGGCCCAGACUCCUACGGGAGGCAGCAGUGGGGAAUUUUGGACAAUGGGGGCAACCCUGAUCCAGCAAUGCCGCGUGUGUGAAGAAGGCCUUCGGGUUGUAAAGCACUUUUGUCCGGAAAGAAAUCCUCUGGGUUAAUACCCCGGGGGGAUGACGGUACCGGAAGAAUAAGCACCGGCUAACUACGUGCCAGCCGCCGCAUCGAAUUC